UACAGGGGGUGCGAGCGUUAAUCGGAAUUACUGGGUGUAAAGGGCGCGUAGGCGGCAUGAUGUGUGUGGUGUGAAAGCCCCGGGCUUAACCUGGGAAGUGCAUCGCAAACUGUCGGGCUGGAGUACAUGAGAGGGUGGCGGAAUUUCCGGUGUAGCGGUGAAAUGCGUAGAUUUCGAGAAGAACGCUCGCUGCGAAAGCGAAGCUCUGGCCAGAUUCUGACGCUGAGGCACGAAGGCUAGGGGAGCAAACGGG
rnacentral:rRNA from 1 species